AAACAUAAGAUGGCGUCGGUUACGUCAUAAACUGGAGUUGGGAGCUGGACUUUCUAGUUACAAUUCCCGGUUGUACUUUGUACUUGCAGCUCCCAACUGCAGCAUAUGAUUCAGCACAACUGCAGCAUAUGAUUACUGCAUAUGUACACUGUAUAGAAGUACACUAACUAAUUUACUCACUUACUGAUAAUCACACACACACACGCUGGUGCAUCUGCUGUGCAUACCUCAAGGAUGCUCGCAGCCCAGAUGCAGCUACCUGUGCAGCCGUGUUGCACGCGUGCAAGUGGUUGUUUACAUUCUUUUACCGCAUGGAGCGGCAUUGGCACAUUAGCGCAACUGGCUCGUCAGCGAUGGUGCUGCAUACCAUGCGCGUCUCUUAUUGAUUGAAAACACUUAUAGUAAUGCUGCGCACUUAUAAUAUACAAAUUAUUUGUCAACUUAUCGAGUAGUUUAAUUGCUUAACUGGAUUGUGCACGGCUUAUAUAUAAUUGUGAAACUUGACAUGCGCCCAAUGGUUGGAGUACUGUACGGAUGGAUGGAUGGUACUGUACUAUAUGGAUACUACUGUACACUGUACAGUUAUAUUGGUUUACUUUCACUGCUUGAUUCAACAAGUUGUUUACAUUCUUUUGCACUAUGGAGGAGCAUUUUAACGCAUCUGGCUCGUCAAAGCCUUUCAACGCAUAGUAAGUGAAAUAUAAUUACUUUUCAGUGGAUAUUACUAGCUGCUCUAUUCUCAAUUUAUUUAUACAUAUAUAAUCAUGGAAACUAACAGUCUACUGCGUGCAUGCUUAUGCGUGCGUGCAGAUCAACUGGAAAAAGUCCGCCAGGGUCGCUGCAAAAUUUUUUCCACUGGAGCCAAAGCCACAUUUCUGUUAACGAUUACUCCGCUAAUUGCAGAAUUUAUGAAUUUCUUGUACACGAACUUCGGGGCUGCUAUAAACAACGAGGGUUUGAGUGGAAAAAGUUGGCCUGAACUUCUCAAAGAAUUUUUCCACCUUGUCAACGAAUGGAAAAUCAUCGCCGUACAACCUUGAAGCCGGACUCGCAUGGCCGGAAAUAUUUCAGUUUCCGAUAAUAGUGAUCCAAUAACGCGAGAGCAUCACUGAUGGACUGUGCACCAUUAACUGUGAUCUUGCCGUUGCGGUACACUUGGCAGUGCGAUUUGUAAGGACGAAUGGAACGGAGAAGAAGCCCGGAAAAUUUAUGUGGUGCAUAAUGAGAAAGCGGAUCGCGUUCGGAUAAGCUGGGUAAGUCAAUUGCGCAGCCAAGGUCAGCAGUUGCAACAACGUUAGUUAUUUUCGCCAUUCAGCCAAUUUGCAAAUGUCUCCGCUUUUGAAAGCGUUGUUUGUGGUAAUGAAGUAAGCUCCUUAAACUUCGGGCACCCAAUGUCUUCAAGAUUAAACACUUCAGGCAAAUAAUUUUCCAAAAUCUUUUGCUUUUCCAAUCCUUUGGCAAAAAACGUCAAACGCGCAGGUCGUUCACCAAUAAGCUCCAGCAUAUCCUGAAUCGCCCUGGCGAUGUCCAAGUAUAAAUAAUCUCCACGAUUAUGCCAGACAAGUCCGUGUGAGUGACGCGAUUGGCUCCUAAAUUCAACGCGGUAACGAUUAAAGUGGGAUGGAAUGGUGAAUGUGUAGCACCUGCUAACACUAGUUGGGCAAUCACAAAAUGCCAGCUGUUUUAUAAGCCGUUGGGAGCCAGCGAUAAACCAAUCAAUAUCUAAGACAACCCUCCGCUUUGAAGUCUCCAUUCUGUUAUCGGUACGCUAGCAAUAGCUCCGCCCUUUGGAAAUGGAUUCCUUAAAUAGGUAUCCGCGCACGACAGCUGAUUUGAGAUUCCGACUACCCGCUUCAGUCCUUGUUGUGGGGCCAACGACUUCGGGGAAAACGACAUAUGUGUCAAAAUUAAUUAUGGAGCGCGAUAAAUUAUUUGACCAACCAUUUGGACGAAUUAUUUUGGUGUACGGAGAAAUGCAGCCAGCCUACGAAGUGCUUCAGCGCAAAGUCCCUUGGAUUGAACUGACAAAAAAUAUUCAACAAAUUGUGGAGGAUGAAAAUUAUUUUGAUGGUAAACAAAAUAUUUUGUUGAUACUGGAUAACGUGGCAAGUGGCUUGGUGAAAAAUGAGCAUUUGGCUAAACUCUUCACUCAAAAAGUACACCAUAAACGGCUUUGUGUAUUUCUAUUAUUCAAUAACCUAUAUAAACAAGGGUCUGCUAUGCGAGACGUGCAUCUUAAUGCACAAUAUCUUAUACUGUUCAAAAAUAAUCGUGAUGUGAACCAAAUCAAGAUUCUAGAAAGGCAGACUGGUUUAAAACAUCUCAGCGGAGCUUACGAGGAAGUCGGCCAGGAACCAUUUCAACCUCUCAUUUUGGAUAUGAAACCGGACACACCUGCCUAUUUAAGGAUUCGUUCAGCAAUAUUACCGGGAGAGUUGACUAAAAUUUACAUUAAUCCACAUACGACAAACUUGCCCAAGAAUGUGUGAUCAGAUUUUAAAAGACUUUGCACCGUUUCUCCUUACCCUGCGAUCGCUGAAACCCAAGCAGCGUCGUUUUCUUUUGGAAAAUAUUUCGAAACGACAACUUCGCUGUUUUGAAGAAAUUUGUUUGAAUUUGGUAAAGAAUUCAGUGCCUCUUACCACCGAUCAGCUAAAGGUGUGUCAGCGUUGGCGUCGACCAUUAUAGCUGAUUGCCCUCAAAAAAUAUCCUUUACGAAGCAAGAGGGAAAUUUUAUUACAGCGCGGAGGAUUCUUACCUGCGGUUCUACCUGUAUUGGCAGCUGUUUUGGGAACUGCCUUACUGAAAUGAAACCGGAAGUGCAUUAUAUUGUUCCCGCGAGCGAAAUGAAAAGACUUGCAAGUGACACGGUUGGUCGUAUUGUAACGGAUGUCCAAUUACAACAGCAGCCUACUGAAGUUGUGGAUAUUGUAAAACUGGACGAUUUGAUGAGAGAUAUAAUUUCACGGAAUACGCUAAGCGAAUGGGAGAAAGCGGAACUGUUAUCAAGAAACUUG